AGUGAACGUUGGCGGCGUGGAUUAGGCAUGCAAGUCGAGCGAGAACCGUAGCAAUACGGGGACAGCGGCGAAAGGGACAGUAAUGUGUAGGUACCUACCUCCGGGUUCGGGAUAGCUGCGGGAAACUGCAGGUAAUACCGAAUAACGUCUCCGGACCAAAGGUGUGAUUCCACCUGGAGAGGGGCCUGCAUCCUAUUAGCUUGUUGGCGGGGUAACGGCCCACCAAGGCGACGAUGGGUAGCGGGUGUGAGAGCACGACCCGCGUCAUUGGGACUGAGACACUGCCCAGACACCUACGGGUGGCUGCAGUCGUGAAUCUUCGGCAAUGGGCGCAAGCCUGACCGAGCGACGCCGCGUGCGGGAUGAAGGCCUUCGGGUUGUAAACCGCUGUCGUAGAGGAGGAAAUGCAGGGGGGUUCUCCCCUCUGCUUGACCUAUUCUAAGAGGAAGUACGGGCUAAGUUCGUGCCAGCCGCCGCGGUAA
rnacentral:rRNA from 1 species